rnacentral:rRNA from 1 species
CCCUACGGGGCGCCCCACCUUUGGCUUCCCGACCCGCAUGCUGGGCACCAACCCUGUGGCCUCGCAGUUCUCCGGCCUCAACAACAAAGCUGUCAUCAUGCAGAUUUUCAUCUUCAGCGGCGUUCUUUCUUCGAUUGCUGGUGUUCUCAUCAUGAGUCGCACCAUGUCAGCUUCCAACGCGUACGGCACCGCCACGUAUGUGAUGUUGACCAUCCUGAUUGGCGUGCUGGCCGGCGUGGUUUCGGGCAAAGGCAGCGUUCUGAACAUCUUCAGCACCGUCUUUAUUUUGCAGGUCAUCUCCACCGGUUCACACAUGCUGCGGGCAGGCGGGCGCGGCAGCUCGUUCUGCAAGGAUUUUGCCUGGGGUGUGCUCCUGAUUAUCAUUUUCAUCAUCAACUACGUCACCCACGGGCGAAGGAAGGAAUAAUUUAGGCGCGUUCGACUGGGCCCGGGCGGGAGGGC